AGUGAACGCUGGCGGUAGGCCUAACACAUGCAAGUCGAACGGCAGCACAGUAAGAGCUUGCUCUUACGGGUGGCGAGUGGCGGACGGGUGAGGCAUACAUCGGAAUCUACUUUUUCGUGGGGGAUAACGUAGGGAAACUUACGCUAAUACCGCAUACGACCUACGGGUGAAAGCAGUGGAUCUUCGGACCUUGCGCGAUUGAAUGAGCCGAUGUCGGAUUAGCUAGUUGGCGGGGUAAAGGCCCACCAAGGCGACGAUCCGUAGCUGAUCUGAGAGGAUGAUCAGCCACACUGGAACUGAGACACGGUCCAGACUCCUACGGGAGGCAGCAGUGGGGAAUAUUGGACAAUGGGCGCAAGCCUGAUCCAGCCAUACCGCGUGAGUGAAGAAGGCCUUCGGGUUGUAAAGCCCUUUUGUUGGGAAAGAAAAGCAGCAGAUUAAUACCCCGCUGUUCUGACGGUACCCAAAGAAUAAGCACCGGCUAACUUCGUG
rnacentral:rRNA from 1 species